GACGAACCGUCCUAACGUUGUUCGGAAUCACUGGGCUUAAAGGGCGCGUAGGCGGGUCACCAAGUCCGGGGUGAAAUCUUUCGGCUUAACCGGAAAACUGCCUUGGAUACUGGUGACCUCGAGGGAGGUAGGGGUCUGUGGAACUUCUGGUGGAGCGGUGAAAUGCGUUGAUAUCAGAAGGAACGCCGGUGGCGAAAGCGACGGACUGGACCUCCACUGACGCUGAGGCGCGAAAGCUAGGGGAGCAAACGGG
rnacentral:rRNA from 1 species